rnacentral:rRNA from 1 species
CCUACGGGAGGCAGCAGUGGGGAAUUUUGGACAAUGGGCGCAAGCCUGAUCCAGCCAUGCCGCGUGCAGGAUGAAGGCCUUCGGGUUGUAAACUGCUUUUGUACGGAACGAAAAGACUCUGGUUAAUACCUGGGGUCCAUGACGGUACCGUAAGAAUAAGCACCGGCUAACUACGUGCCAGCAGCCGCGGUAAUACGUAGGGUGCGAGCGUUAAUCGGAAUUACUGGGCGUAAAGCGUGCGCAGGCGGUUAUAUAAGACAGAUGUGAAAUCCCCGGGCUCAACCUGGGAACUGCAUUUGUGACUGUAUAGCUAGAGUACGGCAGAGGGGGAUGGAAUUCCGCGUGUAGCAGUGAAAUGCGUAGAUAUGCGGAGGAACACCGAUGGCGAAGGCAAUCCCCUGGGCCUGUACUGACGCUCAUGCACGAAAGCGUGGGGAGCAAACAGGAUUAGAUACCCUGGUAGUCCACGCCCUAAACGAUGUCAACUGGUUGUUGGGUCUUCACUGACUCNGUGACGAGACUACGACGUGAGUAGACCGCCGUGGGAGGACGGCCGCGAGGUUAGUAAACGUUAAAGGUAAAGUUAGUACGGCGUAGAGACGUAGACCGACGGACGACGACGAGGGGAGGAGGG